rnacentral:lncRNA from 1 species
AUGGCUAAUGGUGACCCCAAGAAACCAAAGGGCAAAAUGUCUGCUUAUAGUUUUUUUGUGCAGAUGUACAGAGAAGAACAUAAGAAGAAAAACCGGCCUGGCACAGUGACUCACGCCUGUAAUCCCAGCACUUUGGGAGGCCAAGGCAGGCGGAUCAUGAGGUCAAUAAAUUGAGACCAUCCUGGCCAACAUGGUGAAACCCCGUCUCUACUAAAAAUACAAAAAUUAUCUGGGCAUGGUGGCAGGCGCCUAUAGUCCCAGCUACUCGGGAGCCUGAGGCAGGAGAAUCGCUUGAACCUGGGAGGAGAAAGUUGCAGUGAGCGGAGAUCGUGCCACUGCACUCCAGCCUGGGCGACAGAGUGAAACUCCAUCUCAAAAAAAAAAAAAGGAAGAAGAAGAAGAAAAACCCAGAGGUCCCUGUCAAUUUUGCAGAAUUUUCCAAGAAAUAUUCUGAGAGUUGGAAGACAGUGUCAGUGAAAGAGAAGUCCAAAUUUGAUGAAAUGGCAAAGGCGGAUAAAGUACACUAGGAUCGGGAAAUGAAGGAUUAUAGAGCAGCUAAAGGGGAAGCAAGAAGAAAGAGCCUAAUGUCCCCAAAAGGCCACCGUCUGGACUCUUAUUUUUUAUUUUAUUUAAUUUAUUUAUUUUAUUUUUUAAAAUUUAUUUAUUUAUUUAUUUAUUUUUUUGAGACGGAGUCUCGCUCUGUUGCCCAGGCUGGAGUGCAGUGGCGCAAUCUCGGCUCACUGCAAGCCCCGCCUCCCAGGUUCAAGCUAUUCUCCUGCCUCAGCCUCCAGAUUAGCUGGGACCACAGGCGCGUACCACCACGUCUGGCUAAUUUUUGUAUUUUUAGUAGAGAUGGGGUUUCACCAUGUUGGCCAAGCUGGCCUCAAACUCCUGACCUCAGGUGAUCCACCUGCCUUGGCUUCCCAAAGUGCUGGCAUUACAAGCAUGAGCCAUCACACCCAACCAACUGUCUGGAUUCUUCAUGUUCUGUUCAGAAUUCCACCCCAAGAUCAAAUCCGCAAACCCUGGCAUCUCUAUUGGAGAUGUGGCAAAAAAAAAAAAAAAAAAAAAAAAAGCUCUGGGUGAGAUGUGGAAUAGCUGAAGUGACAGUGAAAAGCAGGUUGACGUCACUAAGGCGGCAAAGCUGAAGAAGAAAUAUGAGGAAGAGGUUGCUGACUGUAAGUUGAAAGGAAAGUUUGACGGUGCAAAGGGUCCUGCUAAAGUUGCCUGGAAAAAAGUGGAAGAGGAAGAUGAAGAA